ensembl:lincRNA uncharacterized LOC106149599
CAACAGUUCUCUGGCCAGGCUGCUAUAAAUUAACACUGUAGGAGGGGCAGAGUUGGUGGAUUGAGACCUCUCCUGCACCCUGUUCAGUGGGUUGAAUGGAGAAAUCCAGCUCAAACAGGAUGGAACAGUUCCAAAUGGAAACAAAUCAAAUUCAGAGAAGAACAUACUGAUGGGGACCAGAUAGACAUGCAUCCAACUUGUUCUUACUGGAUUAGAGCAAGUGGGCAGAAUCACGGCAGUUCAGGAGAAAGAAACCAAAUGAAGCCAGAAAACAUUUUCCAGAUGGAAAGAAAACACUGGACUUUGGGGCUGGGGAUUUAGCUGAACGGCAAACGCGCCUGCCUGGCAAGCGCAAGGUCGUGAGUUCGGUUCCCGGUACCAGAGAAAAACCAAAAAAAAAAAAAGAAAACACUGGACUUUUGUGUUUCAAAACCAUACACCUAUAAGCCUAUAAUCCCUGUCUAAUCAGAUCAAACUUUCUCAAACCUUUCUCUGCCAAUAAAAUUUAGCUAUGUGAAUAUUUUUUAUUCUAACUUUUA